rnacentral:tRNA from 1 species
GGAGAGAUGGCUGAGUGGUCGAAAGCGCCUUCCCGCUAAGAAGGUGGCCCGCCAACGAAAGUCCGAGGGCUCGAAUCCCUCUCUCCGCCA